rnacentral:lncRNA from 1 species
GGCAGGUCAACAGCCAAGGGACAACACACGCACUCUCCUGUCUCCCUCCCUCUCUCUCUGCUUUCUUUCCCCCUCCUCGAGAUCGACCACCUUGGCCGCUCCAGAUCGACAACCAUGGCUUCUGGGCUCUCCAAGGGUUACUACCCAAAACAAAUCUCUGUGGUUUCUAACUGCUAUGCACUAGUUUUUCCCUUGGAAUUCCCUUGAUUUUCUCCUUCUCUGGUGUGUGCAGGUCGGCGGUGACGUACUUCACCGAGGUGCCUGGCUCGGCAACCAUGGCGCCCAGGCAGAGCCCAGGAGCCCGUGGUGCUGCUGUGUGGUGGUGUGUAGGGAUUCAGGAUCCGACACUAUUUUCCCCCAACCUGAUAGUGAGUUCAUCUUCCUCACAUCUCCCUGUUCUCUGUUUUUUUUUUUUUUGAAACCUAAUCUGUAGCUCAAAGAUGAAUUAGUAUAGUUCUUGUGUUAAAUCUUUAUCCCACGUUUAAGUAUUAAGUGAAUACUUGUGCUAAAAAAAUGCUAGACCUUGUUAUAGCAACAGCUAGUCCAUCAUUCUUCUAGCAACUUAAGUAUUUUAUCUAGUAUUUCUGUGGUGUGCAAAACUAGUGCAACCAAAACAUUUAUCCCUUUUGUGCAUGUGCUCUGUGUUAUCUGUAGAGAGAAAAAAAAGAGAAAAUUUCUCUAGAAGAUUGUGCAGUGCAGGUGAAACCUCACCUUAACUUUGAGAUUUCAGCUUCAGGCUUAGGCUUGUGCUUCCCCACAAGCACUCCUUCUGUUUGCAGAUCUUGGCUAACACUACUUCUUCUUUUACUUGGUUGAUCCUCACCUGGCCUCUUUUCUUGACUUUCUUUUCUCUCAACCCCUGUUGCUCUCCAUGGGUGCUCAAGUCACCAUUUUGCUGAUGUGGAAGGCUGGUGACUUUUCUCAGUCAAGGAUUGGGCUAGGUGUCCUUGGUAGGCUGCAACUUUGAGUGAAGACUGAAGAACUAGUUUGCUACUACGAUGAGGAAUGCUCCUCUCACUUUCACUCCUGGUUCUUGUACUAGUACACAUUUCCAACCUCUAAGAGAUAUUUACCCUCACAUCUCCUAGCUUUGUCAAGGUCUGUGCAGUGGUGUCCUCCAGCUGCUGCCAUUUGUUUGGUUGAAUGCCUUCUAGAAGGGCAUGCAGCUCACUAUUGUAUAAACUAGUACAAGAGUGGGUGAAAUAGUUGCCACAGUGGUGUGUACUAGAAAAUGUAAAGAAUGGUGUGAGUGUGUGCGUGUGGUAACCUAAGAGGCUAGUUGGCUUAACCAUGUAAAGAAAAUUCCAAGGAUUAAUAUAAGAUCUGUGCAUUUUGGUAUCCAAGUGUAUCAAUUAUCUUGCUGAUGUAAUUAAGAGAGCUGAUGUAAUUAAGGUUAGUUAUCUACUAAAAAUGUGGGUCGUUACAGAGAGAGUCUGGAGAAGCUAGCAUUUUCAACUUCACCAGCUUUCCUACGAAUGUGAUAGCUAAUUUUGGCGAUUUCAAUGGAAAAGCUGUUCCAAAAUAUUUGUUUGGUAGGAAAAGCUGGAAAACAUAUUUGUGAACUGCAUUACAAUUCCUAACAUAUGUGCCCUUAGCUUUAGAAAGAAAAAUUGGUGCAUCCUUGUCUUCUACUCCAUUGUUAAUCCAUCAUCAUUCAACUGAACUAAGCAUUCAUAGAUAGCAUUAUACAUGUGGCAUCCCUAGUUAGUGGUAUAUAUGAAGAAAAAAGUCUACAUAACCUCCCAAACUAUCUAGGGUGGAAUACUUAAUCCCCCAAACUAUAAAACCAGAUAUUCUACCCCCUGAUCUUUCAAAACCGGUCAAAUAACCCCCUAGAGUGGUUUUAUAGGGUGGUUUUGUCUUUUUCUUUUUUUAUUUAUUUCCGCUGAAUAUUUAAAAAAUCAUAAUAAAUCUCUAAAAAAUCGUAAAAUAAAAUAUUUAAUUUUGUUGGACUAUUGAUGAGUAGAUCUACACAAUGAAUAUAUAAUAUGGUAUACUUUAGUACAAAGUUUUUGUUGUAAGUUUAAAUCUAUGUUUUCUAUAAUUAAUUUGAAUAAUUCAUAUAUGUAGUUUCUAUGGUCCAAUUAUGGUAAAAUUUUUAUGGUCGGCUCAUUAUUGUAUGCUUGAACUAUGGUAAAAAUUUCAUACUCAUUGGAUCAAGUAUAACUUAGUUAUAGAUAAAGCAUAGAUUUAACAAGUAAAGCUAAAUAAAUUGAUUACUAAGUUAUAGGUGAUCCAAUGGGUACGAAACUUUUCCCAUAAUUGAAGCGUACAAUAAUGAGCCCACCAUAAAAAUUUUACCACAAUUGAACCAUAGAAACUACAUAUAUGAGUUAUUCUUACUAAUUAUAGAAAAACAUAGAUUUAAAGCUACAACAAAAACUUUGUGCUAAAGUAUAUCAGAUUAUAUAUUCAUUGUGUAGGUCUACUCAUCAGGAGUCCAAAAAAUUGAAUUUUUUAUUUUAUGAUUUUUUUUGUGACUUAUUAUGAUUUUCCAAAGAUUCAGCAAAAAUAAAUAAAAAAGAAAAAUACAAAAUCACCCUCUAUAACCACUCUAGGGGGAUAUGUGACCGAUGGUAGAAUAUCCAGUUUUAUAGUUUAGGGGAUGAAUUAUUCCACCAUAAAUAGUCUGGGGGUUAUGUAGACUUUUUUCUAUAUAUGAACUGUUCGUGAUUCGUAUCAUCUCACUGUAGCUCUCAGAGAGUAAUAGAGCAGUAUAGCUGUUGAACCAAUAAUGAUUGUACCAACAAUACCGAUUCAUGGCAAUCUAGGUAUAAUAUGGUAGCUGCAAAACAUCAAUUCUUUACUACAAACUAGUAGAAGGCGUGCGCCCUCGCGCGCAUGUUUUAUGUUUACGUUGAUGAACCCUAAACAAUAUCAUAUUUAUAAGGAUACAAAUUAUGUAGUAAUUGAUGCAUAAAUGUUAAAAGAGUAUAAGUUUAGUAAUUGAUGCAUUGGUAUCCAUGGAUCAGUAUAUUAUAAGCUUUACUCCGAGAGCUAUAUGGCAUUCAUUAGUUUCAUGGUUUUCUAUAGGCUCUACAUAUAAGCAGCUUCAAACAGGCGGUCAUCGCAUCUUUCACACCACCGCAUGCAUCAUCACCAACAACCUCCUGACCGCCAAUGCCCAGGUCUUGUCGUUGCUGUCAGCCUGUCACAGGAAUGUAGUAAGCUUAUUGUAUUUUUAGAUUAUAGAAUUAUAUAUGUAUGCUAAAGAACAUAACUGCGAUAACAAUAUCUUUA